rnacentral:lncRNA from 1 species
UUUCAGGUGAUUUUCUAGAAGUAGAAAUCACACCCACUGUGGUUUUAGUUCUAUUAUUGAAGAUUCUUCAUAAGAAGCUAUAGAAACUAGACAUUUCUUUUAAACUACACAUUCCUAAAAUCAUAGCCAUGAUUUUCUUUUCAUUCUUAUUCCUGUAGGUUUUGGAAAAUGCAGGUGGCUCAGAGAAGGUAAAACUCCCUGUUCAGAAUUUCCAACACAGUAAUUACGAUGAUCUUUUUAAAGAUGCUACAGAAAGUGAGAGUGAGGGCACCCUGGCCACGGGUGGCUUGUUUCUCAGAGACAAGUGGAGCAGUGAGGAUGAAGAGCUUCCUGGACCGUCCCGGACUGUCCCACCUCAGCUUGCCGGUACGACCUCAUCCUAUUGCUAUUAGCACAUUCUUGAAGAGGCUGUAUUUCAGAGGUAGGAACGAAGACAUUUCUAAUAUGAAUGCAGGAAAGAGCUGGGAAAAACUUUUUUAGAUGGGGAAAGCAUGGUUUCCUAGGUUUUUUUUUUUUUUUUUUUUUUUAAGAAUGAAGAAAAUGCUCCACAUCCCACCUUCGUAAGGGUAAAUUUCUCCCUUUCUUUGAGUAUUUUAAUAUAUCAAUGUCAGCUU